CCUACGGGAGGCAGCAGUGAGGAAUAUUGGUCAAUGGACGAGAGUCUGAACCAGCCAAGUAGCGUGAAGGAUGACUGCCCUAUGGGUUGUAAACUUCUUUUAUAAAGGAAUAAAACGAGGCACGUGUGCCUUUUUGCAUGUACUUUAUGAAUAAGGAUCGGCUAACUCCGUGCCAGCAGCCGCGGUAAUACGGAGGAUCCGAGCGUUAUCCGGAUUUAUUGGGUUUAGAGGGAGCGUAGAUGGGUUGUUAAGUCAGUUGUGAAAGUUUGCGGCUCAACCGUAAAAUUGCAAUUGAUACUGGCAGUCGUGAGUACAGUUGAGGUAGGCGGAAUUCGUGGUGUAGCGGUGAAAUGCUUAGAUAUCACGAAGAACCCCGAUUGCGAAGGCAGCUUACUAAACUGUGACUGACAUUGAUGCUCGAAAGUGUGGGUAUCAAACAGGAUUAGAUACCCGAGUAGUC
rnacentral:rRNA from 1 species